rnacentral:tRNA from 1 species
GUGAGUAUAGCUCACUGGUAGAGCACAUGCCUGGCAUGCAUGAAGUCCUGGGUUCAACCUUUGGUAGCUCCA